AGAGUUUGAUCCUGGCUCAGAUUGAACGCUGGCGGCAUGCUUAACACAUGCAAGUCGAACGCGAAAGUUCCUUCGGGAAUGAGUAGAGUGGCGGACGGGUGAGUAACGCGUAGGAAUCUGCCCUAAAGUGGGGGAUAACUCCGCGAAAGCGGAGCUAAUACCGCAUAAGUUACGCUUUUAGCGUAAUAAAGAAGGGGAUCACGUUUCGGCGUGACCUUUUGCUUUAGGAUGAGCCUGCGUCGGAUUAGCUUGUUGGUAGGGUAAAGGCCUACCAAGGCGACGAUCCGUAGCUGGUCUGAGAGGACGACCAGCCGCACUGGGACUGAGACACGGCCCAGACUCCUACGGGAGGCAGCAGUGGGGAAUCUUGGACAAUGGGCGCAAGCCUGAUCCAGCAAUGCCGCGUGUGUGAAGAAGGCCUGCGGGUUGUAAAGCACUUUCAGUGGGGAGGAAAUGCUCAAGGUUAAUACCCUUGAGAGUUGACGUUACCUACAGAAGAAGCACCGGCUAACUCUGUGCCAGCAGCCGCGGUAAUACAGAGGGUGCAAGCGUUAAUCGGAGUUACUGGGCGUAAAGCGUGCGUAGGUGGAUAUUCAAGUCGAUUGUGAAAACCCCGGGCUUAACCUGGGAACUGCAUUCGAUACUGGGUAUCUGGAGUAUGGUAGAGGAAAGUGGAAUUUCCGGUGUAGCGGUGAAAUGCGUAGAUAUCGGAAAGAACAUCAGUGGCGAAGGCGACUUUCUGGACCAAUACUGACACUGAGGUACGAAAGCAUGGGGAGCAAACAGGAUUAGAGACCCUGGUAGUCCAUGCUGUAAACGAUGAGAACUAGGCGUUAUUUCUGCUUUGCAGAGGUAGUGCCGAAGCUAACGCGUUAAGUUCUCCGCCUGGGGAGUACGGUCGCAAGAUUAAAACUCAAAGGAAUUGACGGGGACCCGCACAAGCGGUGGAGCAUGUGGUUCAAUUCGAUGCAACGCGAAGAACCUUACCUACCCUUGACAUCCCAGGAACUUUCUAGAGAUAGAUUGGUGCCUUCGGGAACCUGGUGACAGGUGCUGCAUGGCUGUCGUCAGCUCGUGUCGUGAGAUGUUGGGUUAAGUCCCGUAACGAGCGCAACCCUUGUCCUUAGUUGCCAGCCACGCGUUCGCGCGUGAGGCACUCUAAGGAGACUGCCGGUGAUAAACCGGAGGAAGUGGGGACGACGUCAAGUCAUCAUGGCCCUUACGGGUAGGGCUACACACGUGCUACAAUGGGAAGUACAGAGGGUUGCCAAACCGCGAGGUGGAGCUAAUCUCAGAAAACUUCUCGUAGUCCGGAUUGAAGUCUGCAACUCGACUUCAUGAAGUUGGAAUCGCUAGUAAUCGCGAAUCAGAAUGUCGCGGUGAAUACGUUCUCGGGUCUUGUACACACCGCCCGUCACACCAUGGGAGUGCAUUGUACCAGAAGCGGGUAGGCUAACCACGCCUUGGCGUGGAAGCCACUCACCACGGUAUGGUUCAUGACUGGGGUGAAGUCGUAACAAGGUA
rnacentral:rRNA from 1 species